rnacentral:rRNA from 1 species
CCCUUAGAUGUUCUGGGCCGCACGCGCGCUACACUGAUGCAGUCAACAAGUAUAUUAUCCUAGGUUGAAAAAUCUGGGUAAUCUUUUGAAACUGCAUCGUGCUGGGGCUUGACGAUUGCAAUUAUUUGUCACAAACGAGGAAUUCCUAGUAAACGCAAGUCAUCAUCUUGCAUUGAUUACGUCCCUGCCCUUUGUACACACCGCCCGUCGCUCCUACCGAUUGAGUGGUCCGGUGAGGCUUUGGGAUCUGAGCGGAAAGAGCGUUUCGCUGUUUCUGCUCGGAAAACUCAGUCGAACCUUAUCAUUUAGAGGAAGGAGAAGUCGUAACA